CAGCAGCCACGGUAAUGCGUAGGUGGCAAGCGUUGUCCGGAAUUAUUGGGCGUAAAGGGCUCGCAGGCGGUUUCUUAAGUCUGAUGUGAAAGCCCCCGGCUCAACCGGGGAGGGUCAUUGGAAACUGGGAAACUUGAGUGCAGAAGAGGAGAGUGGAAUUCCACGUGUAGCGGUGAAAUGCGUAGAGAUGUGGAGGAACACCAGUGGCGAAGGCGACUCUCUGGUCUGUAACUGACGCUGAGGAGUGAAAGCGUGGGGAGCAAAUGGGAUUAGAUACCCCGGUAGUCCCUGUCUCUUAUAC
rnacentral:rRNA from 1 species